UACGUAGGGUGCGAGCGUUAAUCGGAUUUACUGGGCGUAAAGCGUGCGCAGGCGGUCCUUUAAGCCAGACGUGAAAUCCCCGGGCUUAACCUGGGAAUGGCGUUUGGGACUGGGAGUCUGGAGUGCGGCAGAGGAGAAUGGAAUUCCUGGUGUAGCAGUGAAAUGCGUAGAUAUCAGGAGGAACACCGAUGGCGAAGGCAGGUCUCUGGGCUGACACUGACGCUCAUGCACGAAAGCGUGGGGAGCGAACGGG
rnacentral:rRNA from 1 species